CAGGCAUGUUGGAGAAGCCUGUGUGGUCACAAUUCAUAUUGAUAUUUAAAUGGCAUCUGGAUGCUGCAUAUUGCAUAUUAGAAACAAAAAAAAUUGGUAAAAUCCCAAUACGAAGAGAGAGAACAAAACAAGCAGAAAAAUUAACCUGAUGGAAGCAAAUAAGAACAAAAGAAAACAAAACCUAUAAGCAAAUAAUACCAUGGGAAAAUAACAGAAGUUUUUGCAUCCAUAAACCAAGGAUAUGGUGCCUCACGCCUGUAAUCCCAGCACUUUAGGAGGCCGAGGCGGGCAGAUCACCUGAGGUCAGGAGUUCGAGAGCAGUCUGGCCAUCAUGGUGAAACCCUGUCUCUACUGAAAAUACAAAAAUUAGCUGGGCAUAGUGGCGGGUGCCUGUAGUCCCAGCUACUCGGGAGUCUGAGGCAGGAGAAUCACUUGAAUGCAGGAGGCAGAGGUUGCAGUGACCUGAGAUCACACCACUGCACUCCAGCCUGGGCAACAGAGUGAGACUCAGUCUAAAAUAAAAAAUAAAAAAUAAAGCCAAGAAAGAACACUUGGAAAUUUAAACUUAGGGAAGCUGAAAUUGAACAUUUUAGUCAAAGAGCUGGGAAGCCAUUUAUCUUCCAGUAAAUGGGGAAAAAAUAGAGAUAAAGAAACAGAACAGGGCUGGGCGCAGUGGCUCAUGCCUGUAAUCCCAGCACUUUGGGAGGCCGAGAUGGGCAGAUCACUGGAGUUCAAGAGUUCGAGACCAGCCUGGCCAGCAUGGUGAAGCCCCGUCUCUACUAAAAAUACAAAAAUUAGCCGGGCGUGGUUGCACACAUAUGUAAUCCCAGCUAGUCGGUAAGCUGAGGCAGGAGAAUCACUUGAACCUGGGAGGCGGAGGUUGCAGUAAGCUGAGAUCAUGCCACUGCACUUUGGCCUGGGCGACAGAGCGAGACUCUGUAUCCAAAGAAUAAAAAAUAAAAAACAGAACAGAAAGGAGAUGAAUGUAGAGGAUCAAUCCAGAAGAUCAAGAAUUAUAGAAAGAGAAAAGAAAAAAAGGAAAGACAGAAAUAUUUUCAAGGCAAAAUACAAGAAAAUUUCCCAGAGGGAUGCAGACUCUCCACAUUGAAAGGCCCUUCUAAGUGUCUAAUAUCGUGAAUAUUUCAGGACAUCAGGAAUAAAAAGGCAAUUGUAAAACUCUGCAGAGCAACCAAUCAUAUUAUGGUUAUUUUUUCGCAAAGAACAGGCCUUUUUACAGUGAGAUAUCAUGAUGGAUUUUAUUCAAAACAGCAGGAUGGGGCAGGGCUUGUCUGCAGGAGUUUAAGUGAUACAAAAUUGGCCAUGUAUUCAUGUUUGAAUCUGCGUGAUGAGAACAUGGGAAUUCAUUAAACUAUUCUGUAU
rnacentral:lncRNA from 1 species